AGGAGAAACUGCGGACUUUCACCUGCGGACUGGCCCAAAUUUUUGACAGCAGUCCGCAGUUUCUCCACAGGGUAGCUGUCCGCAGUCCGCGUAUUAUACGGAGAUACAGCAUUCCAUAUAGACAUGUCUAUGCGUUGGUAAGGCAGAAAAUUGGACAAGACAGAUCAACCUUAUUUUUGUCAUGCAUUGGCUGUUGUUCGAUAACUGUUGCUUUUUAAAAAUAUGUAUGCAUGCAACAAUUCCAAUGAAUAAAAAUAAAAAUGCGCACAGCUCUUA
rnacentral:lncRNA from 1 species